GUAACGCGUGGGAACGUGCCCUUUGCUACGGAAUAGCCCUGGGAAACUGGGAGUAAUACCGUAUGUGCCCUUCGGGGGAAAGAUUUAUCGGCAAAGGAUCGGCCCGCGUUGGAUUAGGUAGUUGGUGGGGUAAUGGCCUACCAAGCCGACGAUCCAUAGCUGGUUUGAGAGGAUGAUCAGCCACACUGGGACUGAGACACGGCCCAGACUCCUACGGGAGGCAGCAGUGGGGAAUCUUAGACAAUGGGGGAAACCCUGAUCUAGCCAUGCCGCGUGAGCGAUGAAGGCCUUAGGGUUGUAAAGCUCUUUCAGUGGGGAAGAUAAUGACGGUACCCACAGAAGAAGCCCCGGCUAACUCCGUGCCAGCAGCCGCGGUAAUACGGAGGGGGCUAGCGUUGUUCGGAAUUACUGGGCGUAAAGCGCACGUAGGCGGAUUGGAAAGUCAGAGGUGAAAUCCCAGGGCUCAACCUUGGAACUGCCUUUGAAACUCCCAGUCUUGAGGUCGAGAGAGGUGAGUGGAAUUCCGAGUGUAGAGGUGAAAUUCGUAGAUAUUCGGAGGAACGCCAGUGGCGAAGGCGGCUCACUGGCUCGAUACUGACGCUGAAGUG
rnacentral:rRNA from 1 species